GAUGAACGCUGGCGGCGUGCCUAAUACAUGCAAGUCGAGCGAACAGAUAAGGCUCUUGCUCCUUUUACGUUAGCGGCGGACGGGUGAGUAACACGUGGGUAACCGACCUAUAAGACUGGCAUAACUCCGGGAAACCGGGUCUAAUACCGGAUAACAUGUUGAACGGGAUGGUUCUACAGAGCAAAGGCGAUUUGCUGACACUUAUAGAUGUACCCGAGCCGGAUUAGCUAGUUGGUGAGGUAACGGCUCACCAAGGCAACGAUACGUAGCCGACCUGAGAGGGUGAUCGGCCACACUGGAACUGAGACACGGUCCAGACUCCUACGGGAGGCAGCAGUAGGGAAUCUUCGGCAAUGGGCGAAAGCCUGACGGAGCAACGCCGCGUGAGUGAUGAAGGUCUUCGGAUCGUAAAACUCUUUUAGUAGGGAAGAACAACUGCGAAAGUAACUGUGCGCGUCUUGACGGUACCUAAUCAGAAAGCCACGGCUAACUACGUG
rnacentral:rRNA from 1 species